UACGUAGGGUGCGAGCGUUGUCCGGAAUUAUUGGGCGUAAAGAGCUCGUAGGCGGUUUGUUGCGUCUAUCGUGAAAACCUGCGGCUUAACUGUGGGCUUGCGGUGGAUACGGGCAGACUUGAGUUCGGUAGGGGAGACUGGGAUUCCUGGUGUAGCGGUGAAAUGCGCAGAUAUCAGGAGGGACACCGGUGGCGAAGGCGGGUCUCUGGGCCGAUACUGACGCUGAGGAGCGAAAGCGUGGGGAGCGAACAGG
rnacentral:rRNA from 1 species